rnacentral:rRNA from 1 species
AUUGAACGCUGGCGGCAUGCCUUACACAUGCAAGUCGAACGGCAGCGGACCUUCGGGUGCCGGCGAGUGGCGAACGGGUGAGUAAUAUAUCGGAACGUACCUUUCAGUGGGGGAUAACGUAGCGAAAGUUACGCUAAUACCGCACAUUCUGUGAGCAGGAAAGCAGGGGAUCGCAAGACCUUGCGCUGAUUGAGCGGCCGAUAUCAGAUUAGCUAGUUGGUGAGGUAAAGGCUCACCAAGGCGACGAUCUGUAGCGGGUCUGAGAGGAUGAUCCGCCACACUGGAACUGAGACACGGUCCAGACUCCUACGGGAGGCAGCAGUGGGGAAUUUUGGACAAUGGGCGCAAGCCUGAUCCAGCCAUGCCGCGUGAGUGAAGAAGGCC